AUGCCCGUCAUAACACAGCUGCCAUGGCUCUGCAUUACAUCAGAACAAAACCAAAGGAGCCGAGCAAGUUUAGGACUCAGGACAACCAGGAUCAGGCUCUGUUUAAUCUAUAUAACAAGCUGUUCCUGGCGCUUUUCUACUUACCUAAUCCAGCUGUUAGCGAUUUCGGUUGCUAUCCGCCUCGGCUCAUGUCAGCGCCAUGACGCCGCAUCAUCAGAGAUCCUCAUUGGACACUUGAGCAGAAGUUACAUGGUGACGUGAUCUCAAGUUUGACUGUCCAAACUGUUGAACUGACGCCGCACACGGAUGCAUCUAUUACUUCAGAAUUACACUGAGAGCACUGAAGAAAUGCUAUAUAUAUAUAUAUAUAUAUAUAUAUAUAUAUAUAUAUAUAUAUAUAUAUAUAUAUAUAUAUAUAUAUAUAUAUAUAUAUAUAUAUUAGUUGUAGUAUUUCAGUUGCAUGUUGUUGGCAUAAGAUUUUUAUAUUUAGCUUGAAUCUAUGUAUGAAUGCUGCAGAUUCCCAUUCUAUGUCACAACAUGCCCCUCUAUUAAUUCAAUAAACUGUACAUAUUUAUUUAUUUUUCUAGGAAAUAAUAGUGGAAAUAUUCUGUAGACAGGAUUUCAUAAGUAACACCACUCUGAAAAUAUUUACUGGAAUAUAAAUAGUGAGAUUUAGCCUUGGCCUUUCAUUGCUAAAUACACACACACAACUAUGUUUCAAAUCUGUAAUCAGAUUGAACAGUUUUGUAUUUUAAUGUUUGCUCUUAAUUGUUUUGGCUUCAGAGGAAAGGGAUUAUUUCGCGCUCUGCUUGAUUUGGAUUUAAGAUGUGAGGCCCCCUGGUGCUGUAAACUAAUCUUUCUGCCAAGACUAAGUCUGUGCAUGCAAUCAGAGGUAAUUAUUUGAGUGAAUGAAUGGUUACAUGGAAAAACAGCAAUGUUGUCUUUUUAAAAAGUAAAUUUCAGAUAAGAUUUUAAACAUGAUAAAUAAAGCUGUCGGAUUCGGUUGUCGGUUCUAAAUCUGGAUUUAGUGUUUGUGCUUUAAGUGUGAAAUGAGAUAUAAUUUUUGACAUUUAAAUUGAAUUACAAGAGAUCCAAUAAAUAAAUCUAAUCCUGAAGCAGUUUUGUGCCAUAAAUGCAAAUGACUAUAAAUUUAAUCAAAUUGCUGUUAAAUAUGAACAUUCUAAGAAUAUCCAUGUUUUUUUCUCAAUGUAUUUGUUAGAAUGCAUUACAUUACACAUUACAUUUCUUCACAGUUAUUUAAAAAACAAGCAGUCCAACAUUCCCAUGAACUGUGUGGCUAUCAUCAACUUUCACUGGCCCAGAAAAUGCUGACAUUCCC
rnacentral:lncRNA from 1 species